UGAAGGUGACGAAGAAGAAGAAAGAGGCGCAUCCAAAAAAAGCCUAGCCAAAAAAAUCGAAAGUUUACUCCACGAAGGUGUUCCAGAUAUAUACGAAAAAUUGACAUUAUACAUGGAAAAAGUCAAACAGAAUAUGAAUGAUUUAGUACCAAAAGCCAUAACGUAUUAUAUCAUAAAGAAAGUGGUAAACUACAUCAGCCACGAUGUUAUUUUCCAUGUAACUGCUAUUCCGUACGACGAAUAUCCAAAACUUCUUAAACUGGAUGGAAUGGAUGAAGCCAAAUAUGUGGCAGCGUCAAAAAUGCUUGAGGCAUGUAAAGUAGCCCUUACAGGAAUUCAUAAUUUGUACGAGCAGACAAAUGCAUUUGGCACCCAAGCUGGAAACAAAAGCCGAAAUUGAAUGAAAUUCGUUCAUGAAUAAUGGAACUAAGCGACUCGUUAUGGACCGCGAAUCAAAAACACCGCAUACCGAGUUUUACAAAAAAGCUCAAUUUUAUAGUUUUUAAGCCACUACAACUUUUUAAACAUCUUUUUAAUUACAUUUCCACUUUAAUUGAUGAUGAUGAUCACAUGCAUUGAAUUGAAGUCGGACUAUUUUCAUAAUCAUUUAUUCAUUGAUGUAUUUUUGAAUUGAACUUUGCAGAAGAGAGUCUCUACAAUUACGGUUGAAAUGAAAAAAUACAAUGCCAUUCACCAAGCCGGCAAAUAAUAAGAAAAACGUUAAAAAAAAUUAAAUCAACCAAAAUAUCAGUUAAAAUUAGUAUAAAAAUGAGAUGUUUCGACGUCAACUCCUUUAAUAAAUAAAGAUUAUCUGAUAAUUUUUUAUCUUUAUAACUAUGAAAAUAACAAAAAGAUCAAAUUUUUCUCAAUAAAAUUAAAAUUUCACA